rnacentral:rRNA from 1 species
UAGGGAAUCUUCCGCAAUGGACGCAAGUCUGACGGAGCAACGCCGCGUGAGUGAAGAAGGAUUUCGGUUCGUAAAACUCUGUUGUUAGAGAAGAACAGCGCAUAGAGUAACUGUUAUGCGUGUGACGGUAUCUAACCAGAAAGCCACGGCUAACUACGUGCCAGCAGCCGCGGUAAUACGUAGGUGGCAAGCGUUGUCCGGAUUUAUUGGGCGUAAAGCGAGCGCAGGCGGUCAAUUAAGUCUGAUGUGAAAGCCCCCGGCUCAACCGGGGAGGGUCAGUGGAAACUGGUUGACUUGAGUGCAGAAGAGGGGAGAGGAAUUCCAUGUGUAGCGGUGAAAUGCGUAGAUAUAUGGAGGAACACCAGUGUCGAAGGCGACUCUCUGGUCUAUAACUGACGCUGAGGUUCGAAAGCGUGGGUAGCAAACAGG